rnacentral:rRNA from 1 species
UACGUAGGGGGCAAGCGUUGUCCGGAUUUAUUGGGCGUAAAGAGCGUGUAGGCGGCCAUACAGGUCCGUUGUGAAAACCUGGAGGCUUAACCUCCAGACGUCGAUGGAAACCGUAUGGCGAGAGUCCGGAAGAGGAGAGUGGGAAUUCCUGGUGUAGCGGUGAAAAUGCGCAGAUAUCAGGAGGAACACCGAGUGGCGAAGGCAGGUCUCUGGGCAAUUAACUGACGCUGAGGAGCGAAAGCAUGGGGAGCGAACAGG